rnacentral:rRNA from 1 species
CCUACGGGAGGCAGCAGUGAGGAAUAUUGGUCAAUGGACGAGAGUCUGAACCAGCCAAGUCGCGUGAGGGAAGACGGUCCUAUGGAUUGUACACCUCUUUAGUCGGGGAGCAAUGCCGGGCACGCGUGCCCGGCGGGAGAGUACCCGCAGACUAAGCAUCGGCUAACUCCGUGCCAGCAGCCGCGGUAAUACGGGGGAUGCGAGCGUUAUCCGGAUUUAUUGGGUUUAAAGGGUGCGUAGGCGGAUUUUUAAGUCAGCGGUAAAAUGUCCGGGCUCAACCCGGGCCGGCCGUUGAAACUGGGGAGCUUGAGUGGGCGAGAAGUAUGCGGAAUGCGUGGUGUAGCGGUGAAAUGCAUAGAUAUCACGCAGAACUCCGAUUGCGAAGGCAGCAUACCGGCGCCCGACUGACGCUGAGGCACGAAAGCGUGGGGAUCGAACAGGAUUAGAUACCCGAGUAGUC